rnacentral:rRNA from 1 species
AGAUUGAACGCUGGCGGAAUGCUUUACACAUGCAAGUCGAACGGCAGCACGGGGGCAACCCUGGUGGCGAGUGGCGAACGGGUGAGUAAUACAUCGGAACGUGCCCAGUCGUGGGGGAUAACGUAGCGAAAGCUACGCUAAUACCGCAUACGAACUCUGGUUGAAAGCGGGGGAUCGCAGGACCUCGCGCGAUUGGAGCGGCCGAUGGCAGAUUAGGUAGUUGGUGGGGUAAAGCUCACCAAGCCGACGAUCUGUAGCUGGUCUGAGAGGACGACCAGCCACACUGGGACUGAGACACGGCCCAGACUCCGUACGGGAGCAGCGA